GAUGAACGCUGGCGGCGUGCCUAAUACAUGCAAGUCGAGCGAACAGACGAGGAGCUUGCUCCUCUGACGUUAGCGGCGGACGGGUGAGUAACACGUGGAUAACCUACCUAUAAGACUGGGAUAACUUCGGGAAACCGGAGCUAAUACCGGAUAAUAUAUUGAACCGCAUGGUUCAAUAGUGAAAGACGGUUUUGCUGUCACUUAUAGAUGGAUCCGCGCCGCAUUAGCUAGUUGGUAAGGUAACGGCUUACCAAGGCAACGAUGCGUAGCCGACCUGAGAGGGUGAUCGGCCACACUGAAACUGAGACACGGUCCAGACUCCUACGGGAGGCAGCAGUAGGGAAUCUUCCGCAAGGGGCGAAAGCCGGACGGAGCAACGCCGCGUGAGUGAUGAAGGUCUUCGGAUCGUAAAACUCUGUUAUUAGGGAAGAACAAAUGUGUAAGUAACUAUGCACGUCUUGACGGUACCUAAUCAGAAAGCCACGGCUAACUACG
rnacentral:rRNA from 1 species